rnacentral:rRNA from 1 species
UACGUAGGGUGCAAGCGUUAAUCGGAAUUACUGGGCGUAAAGCGUGCGCAGGCGGUUGUGCAAGACCGAUGUGAAAUCCCCGGGCUUAACCUGGGAAUGGCAUUGGUGACUGUACGGCUAGAGUGUGUCAGAGGGGGGUAGAAUUCCACGUGUAGCAGUGAAAUGCGUAGAGAUGAUGGAGGAAUACCGAUGGCGAAGGCAGCCCCCUGGGAUGACACUGACGCUCAUGCACGAAAGCGUGGGGAGCAAACAGG